rnacentral:rRNA from 1 species
AUACGGAGGGUGCAAGCGUUAUUCGGAAUCACUGGGCGUAAAGGACGCGUAGGCGGGUUGGCAAGUCGGAUGUGAAAUCCUACAGCUUAACUGUAGAACUGCAUUUGAAACUGCUAACCUAGAGUAUGGGAGGGGGAGAUGGAAUUAGUGGUGUAGGGGUAAAAUCCGUAGAUAUCACUAGGAAUACCGAAAGCGAAGGCGAUCUCCUGGAACAUAACUGACGCUAAGGCGUGAAAGCGUGGGGAGCAAACAGGAUUAGAUACCCUAGUAGUCC